rnacentral:rRNA from 1 species
CCCCCCCUAGCUUUUCCCGCCUAUAUACCACCGUCGCCAGCUUACCCGUGUGAAGGACUAACAGUAAGCACAAUCGGCACAGCCCAGAACGUCAGGUCGAGGUGUAGUGCAUGGGAGGGGAAGAAAUGGGCUACAUUCGCUGCCUCCAGCGAACACGAAUGAUGCAUUGAAACAUGCAACUGAAGGAGGAUUUAGCAGUAAGCAGGAAGUAGAGCGUCCCGCUGAAGCCGGCUCUUAAGCGCGCACACACCGCCCGUCACCCUCUCCGAGCAGCUGGCCCUGAAUUUUUCUUAAACCAUUACAAUCGCGAAGGAGAGGAAAGUCGUAACAUGGUAAGCGUACCGGAAGGUGCGCUUGGUUAAAU